AUUGAGUUGAGUUGAGUUUGAGUUGAGUUCUAUAAAGUGGAUAACUUUGUUUAAAUGUAAUCCUAUUGCUGCAUCAAAUUGCCUCCUGUUAAAUCCCAUGUGAGCUUCUUGGAGCUGUAUAUUCUGAAAAGAUUUUGCACCUGGAAAGGAAUCAUUCUUUAUCAUUUUCAUUUACCAUGUAAAGCUAUGAUAUUUAUUUUCUUCUUUUCAACGGAAUCUUUUUAUUUUAGGAGAUGCUGGUAUUUAUUUAAAAUUUUCCCUUGGCUUGCAGGGGUUUGAGGUUGUGCUACCAG
rnacentral:misc_RNA from 1 species